rnacentral:pre_miRNA from 1 species
UGUUGAAACAAUCUCUGUUGAACCAUGUUACAGGAAGUUCACUGGAGUUUGUUUCAACAUU